GGAUAUUCCGACUCCUUAAGGGCCUGGCGCACAUAAGGUGUGACCUUUUCAUUCCCGUUGUUAUGGAGGGCCACAUCUGCCAGAGCCUGGAGUCUGCGAAGGCCGGGACCCGGUUCCCCGGCCCACAGUGGGGGUGUGCAAACCCGAGAGAACUGGUCGCUGAAACCUCUACAACUUAGUUGACCGUAACUGCCAGAGCCCUGCCCUGAAUUCCUGUCCUUACUCCCUCUUUAAGAUUGCGUACCCACUGCAGAGUGCUGAAGACGGGGUAGCCACGAGGUUGCAAAUUCGUGAAGAAUCAGCAUCAUGUUUGGCAGCUGAGUAUUGGAGCCAGGAGCCUGCCAUGAGGUUUUGAGAACAGAGUGCUGUUUUAGAGCUGGCAGCAGCAUCUCAGCCCAAGAGAAGGUUAUAUUCCCAGAGGAUGUCAGUCCCAAGGACCAGUAGCUGCCAUCAGUUUGGAUUCUGAAAACUAACUGGCAUCAACACUGGGUGUAGAAACAUGCUUGCCUUAUGUAUCAGAGGACAUGCUCAGCAGAUCCAAGAGAUAUAUUUGGCAACUUUUUCUAGAAAAGGCACAUUGGGUAUCAUUCAUUACAUUCUUGAGUUUUUUUGGGUUUUUUUUUUUUUUUUUGAGACAGUCUUGCUGUAUUGCCCAGGCUGGAGUGUGGUGGCACAAUCACAGCUCAUUGCAUCCUCAAUCACCCAGGCCUAAGCAAUCCUCCCACCUUGUAGCUGGGACUACAGCUCACAGCACACCUGGCUAAAAUUUUUUUUUUGUUGAGACGGAUUCUCUAUGUUGCCCAGGCUGGUCUCAGGCUCCUGGGCUCAGAUGGUCCUCCUGCCUCAGCUUCCAAAGGCACAGGCCAAGUUGUAGCUUUGUCCCUUGCCAUCAUGCCCAACAAGAGGUUCUAUACCUUUUAAUGAAUUGACUUUCAUAAAUUGGUUAUGUUGGUGGGCAAAGUUCUUUAAGCUGGAAAUUGUAAAUUCCUCCUGAAAUGUUUUUUCAUGCAGUUACCAUGAACUAAUACUACAAUAAAGGAUGGUCUUGGGUGUCAA
rnacentral:lncRNA from 1 species